rnacentral:misc_RNA from 1 species
GAUGAAGAACGUAGCGAAAUGCGAUAAGUAGUGUGAAUUGCAGAAGUACCGUGAAUCAUCGAAUCUUUGAACGCAAAUUGCACUCUCUGGUAUUCCGGGGAGUAUGCCUGUUUGAGGGUCGCUUAACAAACCAUCGAUUUCGUUGCUUUUUUUUAAAGAGUGAUGUUUAUCGGAUUUGAGCCGUCUUUUUUUUUUAUAUUUAAAAGUGGCUUAAAAUUGAUUUUUUUGGUACGAUCGAAGCGUAUUUUUAUGAUCAAUUUUUGGUUAAAGAAACGCACACGUACCGUUAUUUAUAUGAUGUAAUACGUUUGACUAUUGGAUUUAGUUCAUUCGUAUACGAUAUCUUUCAAUAUUUGACCUCAAAUCAGGUAAGAACACCCGCUGAACUUAAGCAUAUCAAUAAGCGGAGGA